GAUCCUGGCUCAGAUUGGAACGCUGGCGGCAGGCCUAACACAUGCAAGUCGAGCGCGAAAACACUUCGGUGUGAGUAGAGCGGCGGACGGGUGAGUAACGCGUAGGAAUCUACCUAGUAGUGGGGGACAACUCGGGGAAACUCGAGCUAAUACCGCAUAAGCCCUACGGGGGAAAGCGGGGGACCUUCGGGCCUCGCGCUAUUAGAUGAGCCUGCGUUGGAUUAGCUAGUUGGUGGGGUAAAGGCCUACCAAGGCGACGAUCCAUAGCUGGUCUGAGAGGAUGAUCAGCCACACCGGGACUGAGACACGGCCCGGACUCCUACGGGAGGCAGCAGUGGGGAAUAUUGCGCAAUGGGCGAAAGCCUGACGCAGCCAUGCCGCGUGUGUUGAAGAAGGCCUUCGGGUUGUAAAGCACUUUCAAUUGGGAGGAAAGGUUCACGGUUAAUAACCGUGAGCUGUGACCG
rnacentral:rRNA from 1 species